UGACUGGAGUUGUAGCUGGCCUUUAAAAACGGCAUGUGCACGCUCCUUUCACUAAUCCACACACACCUGUGCACCUUCGCGGGGGUCUCUUUGUUAAACUCGAAGAGGCUCGCGUCCCUUUACACACCCUUUGUAUGUCUUAAGAAUGUCUACUCGAUGUAAUAAAACGCAUCUAAUACAACUUUCAACAACGGAUCUCUUGGCUCUCGCAUCGAUGAAGAACGCAGCGAAAUGCGAUAAGUAAUGUGAAUUGCAGAAUUCAGUGAAUCAUCGAAUCUUUGAACGCACCUUGCGCCCUUUGGUAUUCCGAAGGGCACACCUGUUUGAGUGUCGUGAAAUUCUCAACCCUCUUCACUUUUGUGAACGUAGUGGAUUGGACUUGGAGGCUUUGCCGGGCUUCACCGCUCGGCUCCUCUCAAAUGCAUUAGUGCGUCUUGUUGCGACGUGCGCCUCGGUGUGAUAAUUAUCUACGCUGUGGUGUGCUUGCUUCUGUGGAGACGCGCUUUCUAACCGUCCGAAAGGACAGCUUUCAUCGAACUUUGACCUCAAAUCAGGUGGGACUACCCGCUGAACUUAAGCAUAUCAAUAAGCGGAGGAAAAAGAAAAUUG
rnacentral:rRNA from 1 species